UAAUGAUGCAGAUAGGGCUUGCCUAUGCUGUAUACUCGCAACACCGAAUUAACGUUUAAGCGACUUGUAAAGUCGCCGGAUGCGAGGGCCGCCGAAAGGCGGUUUUUUUUACCU
rnacentral:ncRNA from 1 species